UAAUAAGAACAAGAAAAGUAGAAGUUUGUGUAGUUUCACCAAAAAGGUGAUUUAGUGACAAAAAAAAAUUAAACUUUAUGACGACAAAUCACGAUUAGUUCAAAAGCUUUGAAACACAGUAGCGUAUGAAGUUUCAUUUUUCAGUUGAGCGAUAGUUCAAUAAGCUAUCGUUACCUUCUCACAGUUCUUCCAAAUGAAAUCACUCAUCUGCCGUGUGCUGUAGAACAUGACAAUGACUGUA
rnacentral:misc_RNA from 1 species